AUGGAGAGGCAAAGAUUAGGGAGGAUGAGGAAACCCCAGGAAGGCAGGAAGGGUUUCCCCCCUGGGUUUCCCAUGGCAGGUGGUGCAAGCACACGCUGGCCCAGGGAAUGGGAGCAGGAACUGUCAGCAGGAGCUGGGGAUACGCGGAGCUGGCACGGGCAGAGCAGGGCUGGGGCAGCAGGGACAGCUCGGGGGCUGGCAGGUCCCUGGGCAUCCUCCCACCACCAGCCUCGGCACUGGCACUGGAGGCAGGAGACACCCAGCAGCAUUCCCUUCCUUCCUAACAACGUGGGAAGCGCCAAGGGAGAAGGAGGGAAGAUUUGAGUUUGAAAAGGCAGAAAAGCACAGCCUCGGGACGGUGGUAAAUGGGCCACACGGUUCCCAGUGCCCUAGAAAUUCCCUGUGCGCCGCACAGCGGGGUGGCUGCUGAUGCUAUCGCUGUCCCAGCUCCAUGACUAAGGGAGCUGGAAGGUAUAAAUUAAAUAACACAACACUUCAAGCCGCCUGUUAUGUGGGUUUGUCCUAAGCAGCGCUGCUUUAAUUAAGAUGGAGAGUUUACAAAUCUAACCUUUGUUUAUUCUGCUUUGGGGCAUAUAUAAUGUAAAUAUGUGUUUUCAAACACUGUGGCUUUUUAGACUUCCAGUUAUAAUUCUGGGUAAAGGAAAGUUCGUCAGGUUUGGCACAGACUUGCCCUUUCUAAAUAGAACUCCUGCGAGUCCUUCCCCCCGGGGGCUCUCAGCUCUCGCUCUGCUCCCAACCCGGCUCUGGGCUGGGAUGUGUAAAAGAGGCACUGCCGAGAGAGGGAAGUGGGUUCCAACUCCGUUUCCCUCUCAUCUGACUUAGCUGUGAGUCUCACCGGUUUUGUUCCUGUGUCCCCUCUCUGUCCUUUAGCUGUGAAAACAAGAACGGAGUUUAGGCGGCUACGUGCUCGUCGGGAUUUCUCCGAUGAGUCAGUGAUACGCUUGGGUAGUUUUCUUAGCCUUUAAUUGAAGUGAGUGUGAGCCCUUAACAAAGAGCUCUCCCAAGUCUUCCUUAAUAAGCGUUAACAAAAAUAACUGAGCGACCGGGAGGGAAAUAACCAGGGGCGGCAGUGGUGUCCCCUCUCCUCGAACGUGGGGUUCCUGCAGGCUCUCCUGAGGGCAGGAACACAGGGCAGGACAGGGACACGGGCUGCACUGAGGGUGAUCCGGCUGAUCCCGCGCCACUGCUGGGAAAAACAUCUGUGAUUAGCAUGGACCAUCUCCAGGCGAGCCGGGCUGGUGGAGUGCUGCACUGGCAAACCCCUUUGGAUCUUUUUUUUGGUCUGUUUUUCUCAGUUUCUGCUUCUGCACAGCAAGGACACUAUCUUGCAGAAUUCUGCUGUGGUGCAGACGGUGGGGUCAAAACCAAGCAGACUCCAAACUCCCUGAUGCAGACGGACCCUUGGAGCCACAGGUGCUCCCAAGCAGGCUGGGCCACUCCAGGCAGCCAAGCCCCUGGGCACGUAGUCACAAACUUCCCUCUGGGGUCACAAGGCUGAGAAACUCUUUUUUGUUUCAAAUGCAAACACAUUUUGACAUAACCACUUGACUCUGGCACUGGAGUUUCAAGGAAAAAAGCCUGAGAGGCGUGAAAGAACCGCAGGCAUCUCUCGGAACAGAACGACGACUGUUUUGCAAUGCUCUUGGAAGGUGAAGAAAUGCCUGGGGAGGGCUGAGGAGCAGCGCUGCAGGAUCCAGGUGACCUGCCCAACGCUGCACAAAGCCACAGCUGAGCCAGCGGGCCGAGUGUCCCCGGGUCUCUGCUCUGUCCCCACUGUCCCUCCUCCCUGCUGGGCUGGGGUUUCGCUGAGCUGCGGCUUCAGGACCGGCCUUUGCAUUAUCUGUAACAGGAGACAAGAAAAACCACCCGGGUGUCCCAUAGGGGAGGAAGUCACAGGGGCCAAAUUUAGCCCUGCACGCUGCAGCCAGGGCGCCUCGGCCGCUUCUUCCCGCGCCUGGUACUGCCGAGGCCUCAGAUGCUCAGCGGGGAUCUAGGCCUGAGCAAAGAGGAUUGACCAGAGCUGGGGGAAAAUAAAUAAUCAAGUGCUGUAAGCCUGUUUUCA
ensembl:lncRNA